UACAAGGAGGAGCUAGCGUUGUUCGGAAUACUGGGCGUAAAGCGCACGUAGGCGGAUUGCUAAGUCAGGGGUGAAAUCCCGGGGCUCAACCUCGGAACUGCCUUUGAUACUGACAAUCUCGAGUCCGAUAGAGGUGGGUGGAAUUCCUAGUGUAGAGGUGAAAUUCGUAGAUAUUGCGAAGAACACCAGUGGCGAAGGCGGCCACGCUGGACGUGUGACGCUGAGGUGCGAAAGACGUGGGGGAGCAAACAGGAUUAGAACCUACCUAGUCAGUCCAAGUCCA
rnacentral:rRNA from 1 species